GACGAACCGUACGAACGUUAUUCGGAAUCACUGGGCUUAAAGGGUGCGUAGGCUGCGCGGCAAGUUGGGUGUGAAAUCCCUCGGCUCAACCGAGGAACUGCGCCCAAAACUGCCGUGCUCGAGGGAGACAGAGGUGAGCGGAACUUAGGGUGGAGCGGUGAAAUGCGUUGAGAUCGGAAGGAACGCCCGUGGCGAAAGCGAGGUCCUGGACGCCUACUGACGCUGAGACGCGAAAGCCAGGGGAGCGAACGGG
rnacentral:rRNA from 1 species